rnacentral:lncRNA from 1 species
GCCAGCUUGGAGACCGCAGGGAAAGGAGAGGAGUUUUUUCACCAUUCUUUGGAGGGGAAAAAGUGGUAACAGUUCCUUGGUGUGUACCUCCCUUAAGACUUGUACCAAGAAAGCCGGGCAGAGGUUAUCAGCUGUGGAACUGGGACCUAUGCAAGGAAGAGAGCUGCCCUGCUGUAAGACCACAGGAACAAUGGUUGACAACCAACCUAUCUUCCAACCAGGCUUCCAGCCUGCAAAUAAAUGAAGUGCCAGCAAUA